rnacentral:rRNA from 1 species
GACGAACGCUGGCGGCGUGCUUAACACAUGCAAGUCGAACGGAAAGGCCCUGCUUUUGUGGGGUGCUCGAGUGGCGAACGGGUGAGUAACACGUGAGUAACCUGCCCUUGACUUUGGGAUAACUUCAGGAAACUGGGGCUAAUACCGGAUAGGAGCUCCUGCUGCAUGGUGGGGGUUGGAAAGUUUCGGCGGUUGGGGAUGGACUCGCGGCUUAUCAGCUUGUUGGUGGGGUAGUGGCUGACCAAGGCUUUGACGGGUAGCCGGCCUGAGAGGGUGACCGGCGACAUUGGGACUGAGAGACGGCGCAGACUCCUACGGGAGGCAGCAGUGGGGAAUAUUGCACAAUGGGCGGAAGCCUGAUGCAGCAACGCCGCGUGCGGGAUGACGGCCUUCGGGUUGUAAACCGCUUUCGCCUGUGACGAAGCGUGAGUGACGGUAAUGGGUAAAGAAGCACCGGCUAACUACGUG